GGAAAGGCUUACGGUGGAUACCUAGGCACCCAGAGACGAGGAAGGGCGUAGUAAUUGAUGAAAUGCUUCUGGGAGUUGAAAAUAAGCAUAGAUCCAGAGAUUCCCGAAUAGGGAAACCUUUUGAACUACUGCUAAAUCCAAGGGCAGGCAAGAGACAACCUAGCAAACUAAAACAUCUUAAUAGCCAGAGGAAAAGAAAGUAAAAGCGAUUCUCGUAGUAGCGGCAAGCGAAAUGGGAGUAGCCUAAACCUUGAAAAUAGGGUUGUGGGAGAGCAAUACAAGCAUUGUGCUGCUAGGCAAAGUAACCUGAAUGAUGAACCCUAGAUGGCGAAAGUCCAGUACCCGAAAGUAUCACUAACUUACACUCUGACCCGAGUAGCAUGGGGCACAUGGAAUCCCAUGUGAAUCAGUAAGGACCACCUUCAAGGCUAAAUACUCCUGGGUUACCGAUAGCGAAGUAGUACCGUAAGGGAAGGUUGAAAAGAACCCCCAUCUGGGAGUGAAAUAGAACAUGAAACCAUAAGCUCCCAAGUAGUGGGAGGAGCCAGGGCUCUGACCGCGUUACUGUUGAAGAAUGAGCCGGCGACUCAUAGGCAGUGGCUUAGUUAAGGGAACCCACCAGAGCCGUAGCGAAAGCGAUUCUUCAUAGGGCAAUUGUCACUACUUAUGGACCCAAACCUAGGUGAUCUAUCCAUGACCAGGAUGAAUCUUGGGUAAAAUUAAGUGGAGGUCCGAACUGACUGAUGUUGAAGAAUCAGCGGAUGAGUUGUGGUUAGGGGUGAAAUGUCACUCGAACCCAGAGCUAGCUGGUUCUCCUCGAAAUGCGUUGAGGUGCAACAGUUGAUUGGACAUUUAGGGGUAAAGCACUAUUUUGGUGUGGUCAGUAAGAGCGGUACCAAAUCGAGGCAAACUCUAAAUACUAGGUAUGGCAUUAAAAUUAAAAAAGAAGGGUCAAAGUUGGCUAGUGAGACGAUGGGGGAUAAAGUUCAUCAUUGAGAGAGAAAUAGCCCAGAUCACCAGCUAAGGCCCCUAAAUGGCCACUCAGUGAUAAAAGAGGUAGGGGUGCGGAGACAGCCAAGAGGUUUGCCUAGAAGCAGCCACACUGGUCGAGCGCUCUUGCACCGAAGAUGAAUAAGGCUAAGGGAUCUGCCGAAGCUGUGAGCUGUAAAAAUACAUCGGUAGGGGAGUGUUCCACCUUAGAGAGAAGCCUCCGCGUGAGGCGUGGUGGACAAAACAGAAGCGAGAAUGUCGGCUUGAGUAAUGCAAACAUUAGUAAGAAUCCAAUGCCCUAAAAACCUAAGGGUUUCUCUGCAAAGUUCAUCCUCGGAGGGUGAGUCAGGGCCUAAGAUCAGACCAAAAGGCGUAGUUGAUGGACAAUAGGUGAAUAUUCCUAUACUACGCCUUGUUGAUCCCGAGGGACGGAGGAGGCUAGGUUAGCUAAAAGAUGGUUAUCGAUUCAAGAACGUAAGGUGUCCCUGCUCUUUUUUUAGGGUAAGAAGGGGUAGAGAAAAUGCCUCGAGCCAAUGUUCGAAUACCAGGCGCUACGGCACUAAAGUAACCCAUGCGAUACUCCCAGGAAAAUCUUGAAUGACUUUGAGCAAGAGGGUACCUGUACCCGAAAUCGACACAGAUGGGUAGGUAGAGAAUACUUAGGGGCGUAAGACAACUCUCUCUAAGGAACUCGGCAAAAUAGCCCCAUAACUUUGGGAGAAGGGGUGCCUCUUCAAAUCACAAAGAGGGUCGUAGUGACCAGGCCUGGGCGACUGUUUACCAAAAACACAGGUCUCCGCAAAGUUGUAAGACCAUGUAUGGGGGCUGACGCCUGCCCAGUGCCGGAAGAUCAAGAAAGUUGGUGACCUGAUUACAGGAAAGCCGGCAACCAAAGCCCCGAUGAAUGGCGGCCAUAACUAUAAUGGUCCUAAGGUAGCAAAAUUCCUUGUCGGGUAAGUUCUAACCCGUAGUAAAGGCAUAACGAUCUGGGUACUAUCUCGGAGAGAGGCUCGGUGAAAUAGACAUAUCUGUGAAGAUACGGACUACCUGCACCUGGACAGAAAGAACCUAUGAAUCUUCACUAUUCCCUGGGAUUAGCUUUGGGCCUUUCCUGUGCAGCUUAGGUGGAAGGCGAAGAAUACCUUCUUCCGGGGGGCCCAAGCCAUCAGUGAUAUACCACUCUGGAAGGGAUAGAAUUCUAACCUUGUGUCAGGACCUACGGGCCAAGGGACGGUCUAAGGUAGACAGUUUCUAUGGGGCAUAGGCCUUACAAAAGGUAACGGAGGUAUGCAAAGGUUUCCUCGGGCCGGACGAAGAUUGGCCCUCGAGUGCAAAGGCAAAAGCGAGCUUGACUGCAAGACCCACCUACCAAGCAGGGCCGAAAGUCGACCUUAGUAAUCUGACUGUGCCGAGUGGAAGGGCCGUCGCUCAAUGGAUAAAAGUUACUCUAGGGAUAACAGGCUGAUCUUCCCCAAGAGCUCAUAUUGACGGUAAGUUUUGGCACCUCGAUGUCGGCUUUUCACCACCUGGGGCUGUAGUAUGUUCCAAGGGUUGGGUUGUUUGCCUAUUAAAGCAGUACAUGAGCUGGGUUCAGAACAUCGUGAGACAUUUCGGUCCAUAUCCGGUGUGGGCGUUAGAGAAUUGAGAGGACCUUUUCCUAGUAUGAGAGGACCAGGAAGGAUGCACCUCUGGUGUACCAGUUAUCGUGCCCACGAUAAACGCUGGGUAGCAAAGUGUGGAGCGGAUAACUUCUGAAAGUAUCUAAGUAGUAAGCCCAUCCCAAGAUGAGUGCUCUCCUAUUCCGACUUCCCCAGAGAUUCUGAUAGCACAGCCGAGACAGCGACGAGUUCUCUGCCCCUGCGGGGAUGGAGCGACAGAAGUUUUUUUGAGAAUUCAAGAAAAGGUCCCGGCGAGACGAGUCAUUUAUCAUUACGCUAGGUGUCAAGUGGAAGUGCAGUGAUGUAUGCAGCUUAGGCAUCCUAACAUACCAGUAGACUUGAAC
rnacentral:rRNA from 1 species